rnacentral:rRNA from 1 species
UACGUAGGGUGCGAGCGUUAAUCGGAAUUACUGGGCGUAAAGCGUGCGCAGGCGGUUUUGUAAGCCAGUUGUGAAAUCCCCGGGCUUAACCUGGGAAUGGCAUUUGGGACUGCAAGGCUCGAGUGCGGCAGAGGAGACUGGAAUUCCUGGUGUAGCAGUGAAAUGCGUAGAGAUGUGGAGGAACACCGAUGGCGAAGGCAGCCCCCUGGGCCAACACUGACGCUCAGGCACGAAAGCGUGGGGAGCAAACAGG